GGUGACAAAGCGCUGCGGCUGCUCCGGCAUGCGGUGGCAGGGCUCGACAUUGGGGUUCUCGUAAACAACGCCGGUCUAGCAAAGCCAUGCGCGGUGUAUCUGCACGAGGCGGACGUGGAGGCCUGGGUGAGGAUGAACUGGGUGAACCUGUGGGCACUGACGGAGGUGACGGCGGCGGUGCUGCCAGGGAUGGUGGAGCGGGGCAGGGGUGCCAUCGUCAACAUCGGCUGCGGGACCACCCUGGCCAUCCCAUCGUUCCCGCUACUUUCCAUCUAUGCCGCAUCCAAACUAUACGUUGCUCAGUACUCCAGAAGCCUUCACGUUGAGUACAAGGGCAAAGGUAUCGAUGUACAAUGUCAGCCGCCGUUGUCCGUGGAGACCAACAUGACGUUGGGGGUGGCGGCAUCCCGCAAGCGACGAAGCCUCUUGUCCCGUCUAAUCAUGCUGACAUCGGACGAGUAUGCCAGAGCGGCGGUGUGCUGGAUCGGGCAUGACCCACUCUGCAUGCCUAACCCGAGCCACCGGCUCCAGUGGUGCAUCUGCUAUGUUGUGCCCGACUGGGUGCUCGAUGAGUUGUGCCUCCGGGUGAACCUAUGGCUUAGAGUUCGUUUCCAGCGCCUCAGCAUCGUCACCUAUCCUAAGUCUCUCUUGUCUUUCUCGUGGUGUUUGAAUUCAUGGUACGCUCUAGCUAGUUAG
rnacentral:rRNA from 1 species